CCGACCUUAGCUCAGCGGUAGAGCAACAUUUGAUCCUGACUCGAAUUAUGUCGCCUGUUCAAUCCAGGCAGGUCGGU
rnacentral:tRNA from 1 species